CGGUAAUACGGAGGGUGCAAGCGUUAAUCGGAAUUACUGGGCGUAAAGCGCACGCAGGCGGUUUGUUAAGUCAGAUGUGAAAUCCCCGCGCUUAACGUGGGAACUGCAUUUGAAACUGGCAAGCUAGAGUCUUGUAGAGGGGGGUAGAAUUCCAGGUGUAGCGGUGAAAUGCGUAGAGAUCUGGAGGAAUACCGGUGGCGAAGGCGGCCCCCUGGACAAAGACUGACGCUCAGGUGCGAAAGCGUGGGGAGCAAACAGGAUUA
rnacentral:rRNA from 1 species